rnacentral:rRNA from 1 species
GAUGAACGCUGACAGAAUGCUUAACACAUCAGCAAUUGAUUGGUGGCGGACGGGUGAGUAACGCGUAAAGAACUUACCUCACAGUUCGGGACAACAUUUUGAAACGACUGCUAAUACCUAAUACUGUGAGAGAGCUUUGCGUCGCCUUAGCUAGUUGGAGAGGUAACGGUGCACCAAGGCGAUGAUGGGUAGCCGGCCUGAGUGGGUGAUCGGCCACAAGGGGACUGAGACACGGCCGUUACUCCUACGGGAGGCAGUAGUGGGGAAUUAUGCGGAAUGAGCCAAUGUCUGGUACAGCGAUGCUGGGAGCGGGAUGAAGUUUUCGGAAUGAAAAGUGCUUUCAGUUGGGAAGCGGUACCAAAAGAAGAAGGGACGGCUAAAUACGUGCCAGCAGCCGCGGUAAUAC